UACAGAGGUCCCAAGCGUUGCUCGGAAUUACUGGGCGUAAAGGGCGCGCAGGCGGUUUCUUAAGUCUGAUGUGAAAGCCCACGGCUCAACCGUGGAGGGUCAUUGGAAACUGGGGAACUUGAGUGCAGAAGAGAAAAAGCGGAAUUCCACGUGUAGCGGUGAAAUGCGUAGAGAUGUGGAGGAACACCAGUGGCGAAGGCGGCUUUUUGGUCUGUAACUGACGCUGAGGCGCGAAAAGCGUGGGGAGCAAACAGG
rnacentral:rRNA from 1 species